rnacentral:piRNA from 1 species
UCCACUUGUUUUGGUCUCAAUUACUUGUA